GUUUGAUCCUGGCUCAGAGCGAACGUUAGCGGCGGGGCUUAACACAUGCAAGUCGAGCGAGAAAAGGGGCUUCGGCCCUGAGUACAGCGGCGGACGGGUGAAUAACACGUAGGUAACCUUCCUUUCAGCGGGGGACAACGGUCCGAAAGGACCGCUAAUACCGCAUACGUUCCCUGGGACCUCGGUCCUGGGGAGGAAAGGCCCGCAAGGGCCACUGGAUGAGGGGCCUGCGUAGCAUCAGCUAGUUGGUGGGGUAAUGGCCUACCAAGGCGAAGACGCUUAGCUGGUCUGAGAGGAUGAUCAGCCACACUGGGACUGAGACACGGCCCCAGACUCCUACGGGAGGCAGCAGUGGGGAAUAUUGGACAAUGGGCGCAAGCCUGAUCCAGCCACGCCGCGUGAGUGAUGAAGCCUUCGGUCGUAAGACGUCUGUGGGGUAGGGACGGAAC
rnacentral:rRNA from 1 species